UUGAUCCCUGGCUCAGGAUGAACGCUGGCGGCGUGCUUAACACAUGCAAGUCGAACGAUGACCCGGUGCUUGCACCGGUGAUUAGUGGCGAACGGGUGAGUAACACGUGAGUAACCUGCCCUUAACUCUGGGAUAAGCCUGGGAAACUGGGUCUAAUACCGGAUAUGACUCCUCAUCGCAUGGUGGGGGGUGGAAAGCUUUAUUGUGGUUUUGGAUGGACUCGCGGCCUAUCAGCUUGUUGGUGAGGUAAUGGCUCACCAAGGCGACGACGGGUAGCCGGCCUGAGAGGGUGACCGGCCACACUGGGACUGAGACACGGCCCAGACUCCUACGGGAGGCAGCAGUGGGGAAUAUUGCACAAUGGGCGCAAGCCUGAUGCAGCGACGCCGCGUGAGGGAUGACGGCCUUCGGGUUGUAAACCUCUUUCAGUAGGGAAGAAGCGAAAGUGACGGUACCUGCAGAAGAAGCGCCGGC
rnacentral:rRNA from 1 species